rnacentral:rRNA from 1 species
GGGGGGGGUGCUUACCAUGCAAGUCGAACGAUGAACCACUUCGGUGGGGAUUAGUGGCGAACGGGUGAGUAACACGUGGGCAAUCUGCCCUGCACUCUGGGACAAGCCCUGGAAACGGGGUCUAAUACCGGAUAUUGACCUUCACGGGCAUCUGUGAGGUUCGAAAGCUCCGGCGGUGCAGGAUGAGCCCGCGGCCUAUCAGCUUGUUGGUGAGGUAAUGGCUCACCAAGGCGACGACGGGUAGCCGGCCUGAGAGGGCGACCGGCCACACUGGGACUGAGACACGGCCCAGACUCCUACGGGAGGCAGCAGUGGGGAAUAUUGCACAAUGGGCGAAAGCCUGAUGCAGCGACGCCGCGUGAGGGAUGACGGCCUUCGGGUUGUAAACCUCUUUCAGCAGGGAAGAAGCGAAAGUGACGGUACCUGCAGAAGAAGCGCCGGCUAACUACGUGCCAGCAGCCGCGGUAAUACGUAGGGCGCAAGCGUUGUCCGGAAUUAUUGGGCGUAAAGAGCUCGUAGGCGGCUUGUCACGUCGGUUGUGAAAGCCCGGGGCUUAACCCCGGGUCUGCAGUCGAUACGGGCAGGCUAGAGUUCGGUAGGGGAGAUCGGAAUUCCUGGUGUAGCGGUGAAAUGCGCAGAUAUCAGGAGGAACACCGGUGGCGAAGGCGGAUCUCUGGGCCGAUACUGACGCUGAGGAGCGAAAGCGUGGGGAGCGAACAGGAUUAGAUACCCUGGUAGUCCACGCCGUAAACGGUGGGCACUAGGUGUGGGCAACAUUUCCACGUUGUCCGUGCCGCAGCUAACGCAUUAAGUGCCCCGCCUGGGGAGUACGGCCGCAAGGCUAAAACUCAAAGGAAUUGACGUGGGGCCCGCACAAGCGGCGGGAGCAUGUGGGCUUAAUUCGACGCAACGCGAAGAACCUUACCAAGGCUUGACAUACACCGGAAACGGCCAGAGAUGGUCGCCCCCUUGUGGUCGGUGUACAGGUGGUGCAUGGCUGUUCGUCAGCUCGUGUUCGUGGAGAUGUUUGGGUUAAGUUCCCGCAACGAGCGCAA